AUUGAACGCUGGCGGCAGGCCUAACACAUGCAAGUCGAGCGCGAAAGUUCUUCGGAAUGAGUAAAGCGGCGGACGGGUGAGUAAUACAUGGGAAUCUGCCUGUAGGUGGGGGACAACGUUUCGAAAGGAACGCUAAUACCGCAUACGCCCUACGGGGGAAAGGGGGGAUCUUCGGACCUCUCGCUAUCAGAUGAGCCCAU
rnacentral:rRNA from 1 species